GACGAACGCUGGCGGCGUGCUUAACACAUGCAAGUCGAACGAUGAAGCUGGAGCUUGCUCCGGUGGAUUAGUGGCGAACGGGUGAGUAACACGUGAGCAAUCUGCCCUUCACUCUGGGAUAACUGCGGGAAACUGUAGCUAAUACCGGAUACGAGACCUUGGGGCAUCCCAGGGUCUGGAAAGAAUUUCGGUGAAGGAUGAGCUCGCGGCCUAUCAGCUAGUUGGUGAGGUAAUGGCUCACCAAGGCGACGACGGGUAGCCGGCCUGAGAGGGUGACCGGCCACACUGGGACUGAGACACGGCCCAGACUCCUACGGGAGGCAGCAGUGGGGAAUAUUGCACAAUGGGCGAAAGCCUGAUGCAGCAACGCCGCGUGAGGGAUGAAGGCCUUCGGGUUGUAAACCUCUUUUAGUAGGGAAGAAGCGCAAGUGACGGUACCUACAGAAAAAGCACCGGCUAACUACGUGCCAGCCGCCGCAGUAA
rnacentral:rRNA from 1 species